UAAAAUGCAAUGACGGAGACCAGUACACGAAUGACAUCGCUUGACAGGGAGAAGCUGCCGAAGACUGCAAGCAGCUUUGAAGUGAGCCUCGUGGAAUUCCCUCCAGAGCAGCCCUUUGAACGGCCCAGGCCAAGUAGGAGGAAACGGGUCAUUCCGUUAACGAUGAGCAAGUGAAGUGCCGGGAACGUCAAGCGUUCUUGGUGCUUAAUCAGGGUGGUACCGCGAACAGACUCGUCCCUUUU
rnacentral:ncRNA from 1 species